UCACAUCUUUAAAAAGAGAAAGGUUGGGUUGUUAAUGCUGGGUUAAUUCUCCUGCUAAAUCAAAGUUAUCCAGCAAGCUCUUGAAUGAGGAUUGUUGCAGCUGUAUAGCAAGUCUAGCAGACAGUGCCGCCUGCUCAUAGUGGAAUUACUUUGAGGGAUAAAUGGGCAAGGCGCUAUGGCUGACCAAAAACUAUACUAAAGAUGACACGAUCCCACCACCAGUGUAACGAGUUGGAAAGAAUACUGCCCGCCCAAACAUUGAGGCCUGAAUCAUAUUUGAGAAUAAGCUGUAACCAAUAUGGCUGAAUAUCUACCAAGCAACUGAAUAUCUCUGCCAAGAACAAGAUACCUAACCCUUUGUUCUGACUCUGGGGACAAUCACAUCUACUCCCUGGAAUUCAUCAUGAAUGCGCAAGCUCUGGAGCCGGAGACUUUGUUUUACAAAUUCCACUUGAACAUGAACUGUAGGGGUUAGGGGGAGUAGUGUAAAGUGUUUAAUUUUCUUCAGCCCCAUUACUCAGCUUUAAUUGGUAGGGCCGCUGUGAUUUUUAAAAGUAUGGUUGUGCUUCUAAAGUUUAUUUGUGUUCUUUAUUUGUUUUAUAUUUUGCAUGACUUCAUUUUGUAGCUAAAAUGUAUAUCUUAAACAUUUUGUAUUGUCUACAAUUUGUUGUGAUUGGCCAUAUGUCAUUUUAAGAAUGACGUGUUGUAAACACUUAUUUUUGGAAGUAUUUGUAAAUGAACACCUUCUGUAAAAGAAGGUAGAGCAAAAAGGUAAGAAUUAACCCACUGCUGGGUCAAAUGAAUAACAAUAAAACAGUAAAAAGCAACCCACUGCUGGGUCAAAAUAACUUAAUUUUGGGGGUAAAUCAAGUAACCCAAUGUGUUGGGUCAUUCAACAGUGUUGGGUUACAAUAACCCAGUGCUGUGUAUGUACUAUAGUGACCCACCACAGUAUUUUAAGUGAAUGAAGCAUUAGGCUUUUGGUCUGAUAUGUGCUUUUGAACACCUGAGUAAGUAGUAGCUUAAAGUAAAAAUACUUUAAAGUACUACUUAAGGCUAGGGGGCACUAUUCAUUUUUGGAAAAAUAACGUUCCC